GAAAUGCGAUAAGUAAUGUGAAUUGCAGAAUUCAGUGAAUCAUCGAAUCUUUGAACGCACCUUGCGCUCCUUGGUAUUCCGAGGAGCAUGCCUGUUUGAGUGUCAUGGAAUUCUCAACUCUAUUUGCUUUUGUGAAUAGAGCUUGGAUUUGGAGGUUUAUUGCUGGUACUUGUGAUCGGCUCCUCUUGAAUGCAUUAGCUCGAACCUUUGCGGAUCAGCUAUCGGUGUGAUAAUUGUCUACGCCGUUGCAGUGAAGCAUAUCAAUGGGCUCGGCUUCCAAUCGUCCUUUACUGGACAAUGACUUUGACCUUUGACCUCAAAUCAGGUAGGAUUAUCCGCUGAACUUAAGC
rnacentral:misc_RNA from 1 species